rnacentral:snRNA from 1 species
AUACUUUACCUGACAAGGGAGGGGCCAUGAACAUGAAGGCAAUUUUCCCAGGGCGAGGCUUAUCCAUUGCACUCCGGGUAUGCUGAGCCCUAAGGUUUCCCCAAAUGUGGGAAACUUAACUGUAUAACUUGUGAUCAUGGGGGACAGAGAUUGUGCUCUCCCCUG